AACUUUAUAGUCAUUAAAUGAUAUUAGACUGCAAUUCUAAAGGAGUAGAUAAACUAUUAAGGUUU
rnacentral:tRNA from 1 species